UCUCGUUCUCCUCCGCUCCGCUCUCUCCCACAAACAAAGACAAACAGAGACAAUCCCCUGCUCUCGUUCUCCUCCGCUCCGCUCUCUCCCACAAACAAAGACAAACAGAGACAAUUCCAACUGCCACAGAUGACGUGGAAACAGAGGGAUUCAUGUGCACAAACUGAUUUUGAGGCUGGGGCCCACGACUCCAUUUUGACAUCUGAACAUUUUCGGCGACCCCAACCAUUUUUUAUUUGGAGCUAUGGCAGUCAAUUGAAGAACAUUCUAACAGUAUUUCUGAUUGUCUUCUCAACUCAGCAUCUCAGCUCGAUCAGCUGUUCGAUUUGACUUAAGACAUGUCCACUGAGCCAAGAUCCCAGUCAAAUGGAUUGGGAAGAAGGUCUCAAAGUGCUCUUCCAAGCGUUGGAGGUUCCGCUGUUUAUGUGGGUGGACAAUAAGGAGAAGAGAGCUCACUCAUCACACCUGACACCUCAGCUUUUGAAGACAUCAUAAGACAACUAAGGCCAGAUGUGUUUCUACUUCCCUCCUCGCUCCCCCUGCACAGGCCUCCGUGAUUCAUUUUCCACAGACAUCUGAAAGCCCAAAACAGGCCUUACCCUUCCCAACUCUCCCUCCCCUCCUCACACCCUCACCCUCAGAGCGAUCACUUCCACCACUCCUUGACUGUCUCAGUCUGCUGCAUGUCAGCUUCUGGUGGAAAAAAAACAAGCAGGGGAAUGGAGAGGAAUGGAGAGGAAUGGAAUCCAGUGGCCUGGAUGUAAGAGAAGAAGCUCCUGGCUGAAACUCCUCUCAUCCCCUCAUCCCCCCCCCAUCCUCUCCCCAAAUGAUCUCUCCCACUCUGGUCAGUGGGUAGGCUGGGGACUGGACCAUUUGGGUGGUGUUAGAGGGGUUUAUAGGAGCCUCUCCCUGGCCUGAGGGGAAGCACAGUAAACCAAAUACAAGGGUACGUGAUGGUGAUGGAGGGGGUAGAGAGAUGACUUUCCUUAUGUGUGAAUUAAUUUCACUGACAAGAGGAAACAAAGAAAAGUAGGGAGUGGAGGAAUGUUGGUGUCUCUCUCCCCUCUAGCCUACACACCUCCCUGUUCCACCCUUCUUCGCCCCUCCCUCUCUGUUCCACCCUUCUUCACUCCUCCCUCCCUCUUACACUCUUUUUCACUCCUCCCUUUCCCACCUCAUCCUCUUUCUCUUGCAAGCUCCCUAGUAAUUUCUGUCCUUUUCCAACCUCUCAGAAAACACGACAAAAACUCAACGCUAUUAGUAGAGGGGUUUCCUGGUUGAAAUCUGAUAUCAAGGGCCUAUUGGGUUCUUCUGAAAUCUGAUAUCAAGGCCCUAUUGGGUUCUUCUGGAAUCUGAUAUCAAGGCCCUAUUGGGUUCUUCUGAAAUCUGAUAUCAAGGCCCUAUUGGGUUCUUCUGAAAUCUGAUAUCAAGGCCCUAUUGGGUUUUUCUGGAAUCUGAUAUCAAGGCCCUAUUGGGUUUUUCUGGAAUCUGAUAUCAAGGCCCUAUUGGGUUUUUCUGGCAUCUGAUAUCAAGGCCCUAUUGGGUUUUUCUGGAAUCUGAUAUCAAGGCCCUAUUGGGGUCUUCUGAAAUCUGAUAUCAAGGCCCUAUUGGGUUCUUCUGGAA